rnacentral:lncRNA from 1 species
AGUACUCCUAAGGUUCUAUUAGGGUUGUCACAGCGACACACUUCGGCUCCCUAACAAUAGAUGAGGUUCCAAGGUAGCCUUGUAUGGAAAUGCAAGCUCCGCUUCCACAACGCCUCCACCUCAUUGCUAUAACUGGUAUCAUAAUCAACAAGAUGAGACUCUCUUUCCUGUUUUUUGAAUCUGCCUCUGGCUGGAGCCCUCAAGAAGGUAGAGACCUGCUUGAGCCUCCAAAAGUCAAUUUUCUACACCAGCAGCAUACAGGGGAAAGAAAGUGGAACAAAUUAAAGAGAAAACAAAUCAAAGGAUGAAGGGGAAGAGGAAAUCCCUCUCAUAUGGAGCAGACAUGGAGGCAAAGUUGAGCAGGUAGGCAACUGUGCAUUAUAUGAUUUAUGUGUCAGAUACUCCUCCUGGACAUUCAAGAAAUUAACCAUGCAAUCCUUUACUUCUCAGAUGAGGAAACCUUGUCCCCAAACACACAACUAGUUAGUAAAACUAGAAAUUAAAUCUGGGGCUGAUGAUUCUUCUCAUUACUAGAAAAGUUAAUAUGAAAUGAAGCCUCC